rnacentral:tRNA from 1 species
GCGGGAGUAGCUCAGUGGUAGAGCGCCACCUUGCCAAGGUGGAGGUCGCGGGUUCGAUCCCCGUCUCCCGCU